CCUACGGGGGGCAGCAGUGGGGAAUUUUGGACAAUGGGGGCAACCCUGAUCCAGCCAUUCCGCGUGAGUGAAGAAGGCCUUCGGGUUGUAAAGCUCUUUCGGCCGGGAAGAAAUCGCAUCUCCUAAUACGGGGUGUGGAUGACGGUACCGGAAGAAGAAGCACCGGCUAACUACGUGCCAGCAGCCGCGGUAAUACGUAGGGUGCUAGCGUUAAUCGGGCGUACUGGGCGUAAAGCGUGCGCAAGAGGCGAAAGCCCCGGGCUUAACCUGGGAACUGCGUUUGUGACUGGUGGGCUUGAGUGCGGCAGAGGGGGGUGGAAUUCCACGUGUAGCAGUGAAAUGCGUAGAGAUGUGGAGGAACACCGAUGGCGAAGGCAGCCCCCUGGGUCGACACUGACGCUCAUGCACGAAAGCGUGGGGAGCAAACAGGAUUAGAUACCCUUGUAGUC
rnacentral:rRNA from 1 species